rnacentral:rRNA from 1 species
UACGGAGGGUGCAAGCGUUAAUCGGAAUUACUGGGCGUAAAGCGUGCGCAGGCGGUUUGUUAAGUCCGUUGUGAAAUCCCCGAGCUCAACUUGGGAAUUGCAAUGGAUACUGGCAAGCUGGAGUAUGGUAGAGGAAGGUGGAAUUCCCGGUGUAGCAGUGAAAUGCGUAGAGAUCGGGAGGAACACCAGUGGCGAAGGCGGCCUUCUGGACCAAUACUGACGCUCAUGCACGAAAGCGUGGGGAGCGAACAGG